GGGUCAGUAGGUUGGUCGUGCCACCGGUACGUACUGGUCUCACUGAUUCCUCCUUCCUGAAGAACCGUAAUGCCAUUAAUUUGGUGUUGCGGGGAAACAGGACUGUUACUUUGAAAAAAUUAGAGUGUUUAAAGCAAGCUAACGCUUGAAUACAUUAGCACGGAAUAAUGAAAUAGGACUAUCGAUCCUAUUUUGUUGGUUUCUAGGAUUGACGUA
rnacentral:rRNA from 1 species